AAUCAUAAAGCUAACAAAGCGUUUUAGCAUUUCAUCAAACUGCACUAAGGGGCUGUUUGGUUGCAUGCAUUUCCAACUGCAUUGCAGUUGAAAAUGCAUGCAUCUAUUAAUUUUUUGUUCGAUUUGGUGCAGUUAGACACAACUGCUGCAGUUGCAUAUACACGAUAAGGUCCAACUGCAGCAAUUACAAUUGCAUAAAACCAAACAGACUAGAUGUAGUUAUGACUGCAGCAUUUACAACUGCAUAUACUUCCAACUACACUAUUUUUGUAACUAUAUCCAACCAAACGGCCCCUUAAGUGUUAACAGAAUUUAAUAAAGUGUUUCUUUUUUUUUCCCAAUGAUGCUACUGCAACGCUAUUUCAUCAAAUU
rnacentral:lncRNA from 1 species